GACGAACGCUGGCGGCGUGCUUAACACAUGCAAGUCGAGCGGUAAGGCCCUUUCGGGGGUACACGAGCGGCGAACGGGUGAGUAACACGUGGGUGACCUGCCCUCAGCUCUGGGAUAAGCCUGGGAAACCGGGUCUAAUACCGGAUAUGACUCCAUGACGCAUGUUGUGGGGUGGAAAGCCUUGUGCGGCUGAGGAUGGGCCCGCGGCCUAUCAGCUUGUUGGUGGGGUGAUGGCCUACCAAGGCGACGACGGGUAGCCGGCCUGAGAGGGCGACCGGCCACACUGGGACUGAGACACGGCCCAGACUCCUACGGGAGGCAGCAGUGGGGAAUCUUGCGCAAUGGGCGAAAGCCUGACGCAGCGACGCCGCGUGAGGGAUGACGGCCUGGUUGUAAC
rnacentral:rRNA from 1 species